AUUGAACGCUGGCGGCAUGCCUUACACAUGCAAGUCGAACGGUAACGGGCCUUCGGGUGCCGACGAGUGGCGAACGGGUGAGUAAUACAUCGGAACGUGCCCGAUCGUGGGGGAUAACGAGGCGAAAGCUGUGCUAAUACCGCAUACGAUCUACGGAUGAAAGCAGGGGACCGCAAGGCCUUGCGCGGACGGAGCGGCCGAUGGCAGAUUAGGUAGUUGGUGGGAUAAAAGCUUACCAAGCCGACGAUCUGUAGCUGGUCUGAGAGGAUGAUCAGCCACACUGGGACUGAGACACGGCCCAGACUCCUACGGGAGGCAGCAGUGGGGAAUUUUGGACAAUGGGCGCAAGCCUGAUCCAGCCAUGCCGCGUGCAGGAUGAAGGCCUUCGGGUUGUAAACUGCUUUUGUACGGAACGAAAAGCCUUCUUUUAAUACAGGAGGGUCAUGACGGUACCGUAAGAAUAAGCACCGGCUAACUACGUG
rnacentral:rRNA from 1 species